rnacentral:rRNA from 1 species
GACGAACGCUGGCGGCGUGCCUAAUACAUGCAAGUUGAGCGCUGAAGGUUGGUACUUGUACCAACUGGAUGAGCAGCGAACGGGUGAGUAACGCGUGGGGAAUCUGCCUUUGAGCGGGGGACAACAUUUGGAAACGAAUGCUAAUACCGCAUAAAAACUUUAAACACAAGUUUUAAGUUUGAAAGAUGCAAUUGCAUCACUCAAAGAUGAUCCCGCGUUGUAUUAGCUAGUUGGUGAGGUAAAGGCUCACCAAGGCGAUGAUACAUAGCCGACCUGAGAGGGUGGUCGGCCACAUUGGGACUGGGACACGGCCCAAACUCCUUCGGGGGGCAGCAGUAGGGGAUCUUCGGCAAUGGACGAAAGUCUGACCGAGCAACGCCGCGUGAGUGAAGAAGGUUUUCGGAUCGUAAAACUCUGUUGGUAGAGAAGAACGUUGGUGAGAGUGGAAAGCUCAUCAAGUGACGGUAACUACCCAGAAAGGGACGGCUAACUACGUG